AGCGAGACCGCGAGGUUAAGCCAAUCCCACAAAUCUGUUCUCAGUUCGGAUCGCAGUCUGCAACUCGACUGCGUGAAGCUGGAAUCGCUAGUAAUCGCGGAUCAGCAUGCCGCGGUGAAUACGUUCCCGGGCCUUGUACACACCGCCCGUCACACCACGAGAGUUUGUAACACCCGAAGUCGGUGAGGUAACCUUUAUGGAGCCAGCCGCCGAAGGUGGGACAGAUGAUUGGGGUGAAGUCGUAACAAGGUAGCCGUAUCGGAAGGUGCGGCUGGAUCACCUCCUUU
rnacentral:rRNA from 1 species